GAUCGAUUUAAUAACAGUAAGUGUGCUAUUUAAAUACAAGCCAAGUUAUCAACUUUAUUUCAUUGGCUAAGCCAGCCAGGCUUUGAACGAUUUUCAAAUUUUAUACCACUUUCUCAAAGUGCUAUCGGAGAGAAGUAGAGUAUUGAGUAAUUUUUGAAACGUUUGACGAGAACCUAGAAGUCAACAAUCAGCCAGUCGCUCAUUUUGUCGCAGUUUUUUUACAACUGUCCCUUAUAUCGAAAGGGGGAACAUGUUAGUACUGAGAGAAACUACGGAAAGAGUUUGACGAGAGCCUAGAAGUAUUGAUGUAUCGUGAAUGACCUGGAAGAUUCGUAGAACACGGAAGACUUCUUAUUCGGAAUGAUUUUUACAAAAAUUGAUCAAAGAAGGAAAGAUGACUACAAAAGAGAUGAAAAAUCUUAAAGAAAGAAAGUUGAUCAUCAUCGUCAUCGUCACAGGAUUCAUUUUUUCUCUAUUGACAUUUUUAUCAGUGGUAAAAUAUAUCACAAACUGUUCCAGCCAUGCAGAGGUUAACAGGAUUGACAAUUUUCUCAAAGACAUUACAGUAUUAAGAAGCAAAAGAAAUGUGGACAAUGAUAUUAAUGUAGAUAACACAUUGGAUAGGUUUAGAUAUACCAAUGUCAAUACAGCUGAUGAUUUGAUUGGGUAUAUAGCUGUGGGACAGGGAUAUGAGCAUUGUAUGGAAUUAUAUUUCAUUCAUAGUAAUGAGGUGGAAAUCGAAGUUAAAAUAGAGUCGAAAACAAGUUUUGUUAAAAAUGCAAGGAUUUUAUAGGUCUAAUAACAUAACCAAGAUUUUUGAAUGUAAUAUACUGAAAAGAGCUUUUUGGACAUUAUUUGUAAAAGGUAAUGAUUCAACAAUUUGGUCUGGAGAUGUCAAUAAUGAUGUGAUAAGCUCUGGGAAAAUAUUUUAUCCAGUAGACCAGUAUUAUUAUCUUUUUCAAUGUUUUGUAAAAAUAUUAGACCCAGAACAUCUAAAUAUAAUUGGAGAUGAAAAAGGAGACAUUGUAAGAAAAUGGGAUUUUAGAGUAAUAAGAAAAUCUACUCAGUUACGAGUCAAAAUUAGCAUUACUGUGGUAGAUAUUAUUGUUCCAGAGAUAAAAGUGUCACCACAGUCUUUAAAAGUCAUUGAAGGUGAAGAUGGAUUGAAUUUGAUGUGUAGUACUCAAAUUUAUUUACCUCAAAGUUCAUUGUUAACUUGGAAAAGGAAUGGUGAUUUUUUGGGUAGUUUUUUCCACAGUACAACUAAUAUAAUUCACAAAGGAAUUUUUGGUAAUGUGAAUUGGAUCAAUGAUAAAUUUAUUUAUCAUCAAUCAGGUGUAUCUUUAAAUGAUACUGGUAUAUAUGAGUGCUGCAUAUUAAUAGAAGGCUAUCCCUUGAAAUGUGCUAAUGCAAGUAUAAUUGUCAUGUCCCCAGGGAAAACUCCAUGUGUUGGUAAAAACAGUGUUUUUGCUAAUCCCUUCCAGAUUAACCAUUUACAAUCCAGAGCUCUAUUGAGAGAAGGAACAUUCGUCAUUAUAUUAUGGAACUUUAAUAUUUCAGAAUGGAAAAUUUCUACAAGGUUUCCACAAUGUCAAAGACAUUUGGUUAAUAUGGAAUUGGGUAUUGAAAGAUGGUUUGGAAUCAAUAGUCAUAACAGAAAUAGACGUGGUAUUGUCGAAGGAGUCCUAGGGGGCAUAGGUAUAAUUGGCAGCAUUGCAAAUAGUAUGGAUAUUAACACGUUAAAAUCUGAUCUUGAGUCAGCAGGUUUAGUGGGAAGUAAAGGUUUUAAGAUCCAAAGAAACUUAAAUCAGAUAUUAGAAGAUAUGGUUAUUAAAACAGCCAAUGUAAUGGGUCCAUCCAUACUACAUCUU